UAGCUCAGUCGGUAAAGAAUCUGCCUGCAAUGCAGGAGACCUGGGUUCGAUUCCUGG
rfam:Ovis aries breed Texel chromosome 7, whole genome shotgun sequence.